rnacentral:rRNA from 1 species
AGCCAUGCAUGUCUAAGUACAUGCCGUAUUAAGGCGAAACCGCGAAUGGCUCAUUAAAUCAGUUAUGGUUCCUUGGAUCGUACCUUACUACUUGGAUAACUGUGGCAAUUCUAGAGCUAAUACAUGCAGCAGAGCUCCGACCUUCGGGGACGAGCGCUUUUAUUAGACCAAAACCAAUCGGACCUCGUGUCCGUCUCUUGUGGUGACUCUGAAUAACUUUGGGCUGAUCGCACGGGCCCGUCCCGGCGACGUAUCUUUCAAGUGUCUGCCUUAUCAACUUUCGAUGGUAGGUUACGCGCCUACCAUGGUCGUAACGGGUAACGGGGAAUCAGGGUUCGAUUCCGGAGAGGGAGCCUGAGAAACGGCUACCACAUCCAAGGAAGGCAGCAGGCGCGCAAAUUACCCACUCCCAGAACGGGGAGGUAGUGACGAAAAAUAACAAUACGGGACUCUUUUGAGACCCCGUAAUUGGAAUGAGUACACUCUAAAGCCUUUAACGAGUAUCCAUUGGAGGGCAAGUCUGGUGCCAGCAGCUGCGGUAAUUCCAGCUCCAAUAGCGUAUAUUAAAGUUGUUGCGGUUAAAAAGCUCGUAGUUGGAUCUCAGUUCCAGACGGGUGGUCCACCUACCGGUGGUUACUGCCUGUUCUGAACAGCCAGCCGGUUUCUCUUGAUGAUCUUCACCGGUUGUCUUGGGUGACCGGCAAGUUUACUUUGAAAAAAUUAGAGUGCUCAAAGCASGCGUGACGCCUGAAUAAUGGUGCAUGGAAAUAAUAGAAUAGGACCUCGUUUCUAUUUUGUUGGUUUUCGGAACACGAGGUAAUGAUUAAGAGGGACAGACGGGGGCAUUCGUAUUGCGACGCUAGAGGUGAAAU